UCCUGAAGACCAACAGUUUACAGGAAAAAAAAAUAUAAUUAUAUAUCAUGGCAUGGACAUAAAAGGAAACAAUCUCUAACUUAUCCUCCUUUUGAUUAUUUGCAUGCAGUUUAUAAAACAAAGAAGAAUGGAGGUUGGAAACUGUUCAGCCACUGAGUUUCUUCUCUUGGGAAUUACCAAUAAUCCUGUGAUCAAGGUGAUUUUAUUUACUACUUUUCUAAUUGUUUAUCUCAUAAUUCUUAUUGAAAAUCUUGGGAUGAUCAUUUUGAUAAGAAUGAACUCCCAGCUUCACACACCGAUGUACUUUUUUCUCAGCCACCUCUCUUUCUCUGAUAUCUGUUAUUCUACUGCAGUUGGACCCAAGAUGUUGGUGGGCCUUAUAUUCAAGAACAAUUCAAUUCCAUUUAUUGACUGUGCUGUGCAGUUCUUUAUCUUCUGCAUUUUUACCGAUGCUGAGUGUGUGCUACUGGCAGUGAUGGCUUUUGACAGGUAUAAGGCCAUCAGCAACCCCUUGAUGUAUGCGGUAGAUAUGUCCAGAGUGGUAUGCUAUCAGCUCCUGGCUGUGGUUUAUCUGGUUGGAAUGGUAGAUGCUUUGACACAUACA
rnacentral:lncRNA from 1 species